GGGAACGUACCCUUUACUACGGAACAACUCCGGGAAACUGGAGCUAAUACCGUAUGUGCCCUUCGGGGGAAAGAUUUAUCGGUAAAGGAUCGGCCCGCGUUGGAUUAGCUAGUUGGUGGGGUAAAGGCCUACCAAGGCGACGAUCCAUAGCUGGUCUGAGAGGAUGAUCAGCCACAUUGGGACUGAGACACGGCCCAAACUCCUACGGGAGGCAGCAGUGGGGAAUAUUGGACAAUGGGCGCAAGCCUGAUCCAGCCAUGCCGCGUGUGUGAUGAAGGCCUUAGGGUUGUAAAGCACUUUCACCGGAGAAGAUAAUGACGGUAUCCGGAGAAGAAGCCCCGGCUAACUUCGUGCCAGCAGCCGCGGUAAUACGAAGGGGGCUAGCGUUGUUCGGAAUUACUGGGCGUAAAGCGCACGUAGGCGGAUAUUUAAGUCAGGGGUGAAAUCCCAGAGCUCAACUCUGGAACUGCCUUUGAUACUGGGUAUCUUGAGUAUGGAAGAGGUAAGUGGAAUUGCGAGU
rnacentral:rRNA from 1 species